AAUGCAAUCCAACAUCGGGAUCUCGAUUCAUCAAUUUAUAAGUGUUUUAGACAAGUUAAAGGAUUAAACUACCUUGUAGGACCCACUAAUUAUGAGCACCCAUUUCCAGCUCAUUCUUUGCCCACGUGACAGCAACCCUCUCCAUUCCUUUCUUUUUUAUCUUGAGUGCAAGCUUCCCCAAUCAAGUACAGGCAUGGUGAUUGAAGCAUGGGGCUUCUCUUCCAUUAGUGUAUCCCCUUACAGUAUAAAUAGAGCUUCAUAUCAUCUCCAAAAAAAAUCACACCUCAAUCUUUAGCUUCUGUCUCUCAAUCUUGAUCUCUAUCUCCCUCUAUAUUACCUUGAAGAUCAUCACGAUAAACCACCAUUCCACCACCCCCUGUUGCCGCUGCUUUGAAACUAAAUUUUCUCGGAGAUUCGUAUUCACGGAAAACUACUUGACCUUCUUGCAUCCAUUCCAGAACGUUAUUCAUCUAUCGAACGUUAAAGUAGUGGUGCAUGAGCAUAGAUGUGAUGUUUUGGACGAGGGAUUAUGGAUAUAGGCCUGUAGAUAUGAAAUAAUGUAGUAAGGCUUAUAUUGUACUGUUUAUGCUUUUGAUCUGUACGAACAUGACAUCCCGAGUCUUUUAAUGAAAUACAUUUCUAUGGAAAUGCUUUUGAUAAAUCUUUAUCAUAUUUUGUAUUGGUACAAAUUCCGCAAUGCUUUUAUUUAAAAUGUUACUCUGAUUUUUAAACAAAGCAUAAACAAACCGGUCUUUUCUGGCCGUGAUUUUGGGGAUGUCACAGCAUGGGUCAGAGCACACUUCCUAGAUGCUUAAUAGGACCUUAAAACACUCUUUGGCAUGUUUCUUUAUGAGUGUACGGUCGUACACACUCAUGGUCCGUACACACACUGGUUGUACACACAUUAAAC